rnacentral:siRNA from 1 species
UCCUUCCCUCUUUGUGCCACCGUC